rnacentral:rRNA from 1 species
GAGGAAUAUUGGUCAAUGGACGAGAGUCUGAACCAGCCAAGUAGCGUGAGGGAUGACUGCCCUAUGGGUUGUAAACUUCUUUUAUACGGGAAUAAAGUUAGCCACGUGUGGCUUUUUGUAUGUACCGUAUGAAUAAGGAUCGGCUAACUCCGUGCCAGCAGCCGCGGUAAUACGGAGGAUCCGAGCGUUAUCCGGAUUUAUUGGGUUUAAAGGGAGCGUAGGCGGGUUGUUAAGUCAGUUGUGAAAGUUUGCGGCUCAACCGUAAAAUUGCAGUUGAUACUGGCGACCUUGAGUGCAACAGAGGUAGGCGGAAUUCGUGGUGUAGCGGUGAAAUGCUUAGAUAUCACGAAGAACUCCGAUUGCGAAGGCAGCUUACUGGAUUGUAACUGACGCUGAUGCUCGAAAGUGUGGGUAUCAAACAGGAUUAGAUACCCUGGUAGUCCACACAGUAAACGAUGAAUACUCGCUGUUGGCGAUAUACGGUCAGCGGCCAAGCGAAAGCAUUAAGUAUUCCACCUGGGGAGUACGCCGGCAACGGUGAAACUCAAAGGAAUUGACGGGGGCCCGCACAAGCGGAGGAACAUGUGGUUUAAUUCGAUGAUACGCGAGGAACCUUACCCGGGCUUAAAUUGCAACUGACUGAACCGGAAACGGUUCUUUCUUCGGACAGUUGUGAAGGUGCUGCAUGGUUGUCGUCAGCUCGUGCCGUGAGGUGUCGGCUUAAGUGCCAUAACGAGCGCAACCCUUAUCGAUAGUUACUAGCAGGUCAUGCUGAGGACUCUAUUGAGACUGCCGUCGUAAGAUGUGAGGAAGGUGGGGAUGACGUCAAAUCAGCACGGCCCUUACGUCCGGGGCUACACACGUGUUACAAUGGGGGGUACAGAAGGCAGCUACACAGCGACGUGGUGCUAAUCCCGAAAGCCUCUCUCAGUUCGGAUUGGAGUCUGCAACCCGACUCCAUGAAGCUGGAUUCGCUAGUAAUCGCGCAUCAGCCACGGCGCGGUGAAUACGUUCCCG